GUGGUUUGUCUUCUCCCCCAUCAUCCCAUCUUAUGGCUGUAAUUCACAGUGUCAUGUGUUAAUUGCACCCACGCAGAGUUGUUUAAGGGCAUUCUUGGCAUCAUUAUCAUGUUUUAAAUUAUGUUCUCUCUUCUGAUCUCAGUUGGCAGCUCGAUGGGGUUUAAGGAUUCUUGGGACUCCUCUAAUUGGUGGUGUGAGGCCUGUGGAGCAGCUAAUGGAACUUCAGGACUAUGCUGACUACCCCAGGGUCUUACGGUCAUUUCUGUUUCACCAGCAGAUCUGGGUGGCAGCAGAGAGCUGCAGCGCCCCCGAGUGCUGUAACGACUGCACGGAGAGACGUGCGGGUCUUCACGGGAACAGCAAGGAACCGAAAGCUGCAUUUCCUGGGAUGCCCCGGAACCCCACUUUGCUGACUGGUAAUUGUCUGCCCAGCAGGUGGCAGCAGAGAGCUGCAGCGCCCCCGAGUGCUGUAACGACUGCACGGAGAGACGUGCGGGUCUUCACGGGAACAGCAAGGAACCGAAAGCUGCAUUUCCUGGGAUGCCCCGGAACCCCACUUUGCUGACUGGUAAUUGUCUGCCCAGCAGUGCUAAUCUGAUGCAACGCCCUCAGCAAACUUACCAGGGUGCACUCCAUGCUGUCAGGCAGGUCUUCAGUGAAGAUAUUGGACAGAACAGGCCUGAAGAACACUCAGGAUGGCAUACCAGCUGCUUUUAACACGAUUGAGCAGCACUUAUUAGGCCAGAUGGUUUAGCUAGUUCUUCAUCUAGGAAGCAAUGUACCUGUCCAAGUAGCUGGCUGCAAUCUUUCAGAGAAGUUCAAGGGAUAGCACAUCAAAGGGUUUGCCUCACUCAUGGGGUUGGGUCACCUUUGCUUUGAGUUUGCUAGCGUGGCUGACCCUAAUCCUGUAACUGACAUCCUGUAGCUGGACAGAGACCAUUUGCACUCCAUCCUGGCUGUUUAAGACUCACGGCCAUGCUGAGAGUCACACUGAUUUCAGCGUGUGCAGUCAUUUUGCAUCAACCCAAUUAGCUUUACAAAUAAUUUGUCUCAACCAAAUUGGUUUUAGCUUUGCAGUUAAUGCAUUGCAAAUAUGUUGGCUUUAGCUUUGCCUUGCUUACGGGGUUGGGUUAGCUUUGCUUUGUUUGUUUGUACCGCAGGGCUAACCCAACCCCGUAACCAACAUCUGAGGCCAUCGGAGCCCAUUUGCGCUCCUUCCCGGCCAGUCUGAGACUCGUGCCCCUUUGCGGCCAUUCUGAGAGUUGCGCUGAUUUUGGCAGGUGCAGUCAAUUGAUCUUGCCCAAAUUGCCUUUAGCUUUGCAAUGAAUUUGUCUCAACCAAAUUGGCUUUAGCUUUGCAAUCAGUUGAUCUCAACCAAAUUGUCUUUAGCUUUGCAAUCAAUUGAUCUCAGCCAAAUUGGCUUUAGCUUUGCCUUGCUUACGGGGUUGGGUUAGCUUUGCUUUGUUUGUUUGUACCGCAGGGCUAACCCAACCCCGUAACCAACAUCUGAGGCCAUCGGAGCCCAUUUGCGCUCCUUCCCGGCCAGUCUGAGACUCGUGCCCCUUUGCGGCCAUUCUGAGAGUUGCGCUGAUUUUGGCAGGUGCAGUCAAUUGAUCUUGCCCAAAUUGCCUUUAGCUUUGCAAUGAAUUUGUCUCAACCAAAUUGGCUUUAGCUUUGCAAUCAAUUGAUGUCAGCCAAAUUGGCUUUAGCUUUGCCUUGCUUACGGGGUUGGGUUAGCUUUGCUUUGUUUGUUUGUACCGCAGGGCUAACCCAACCCCGUAACCAAUGCCCGAGGCCAAUGGAGCCCAUUUGUGCUCCUUCCCGGCCAGUCUGAGGCUUGCAUUUACUUCAGAUGGGCUGAGAUCUGCUCCGCUGUUGAGGUGGGUUGCAGUACACAAUAUUAGUGUAAAUCUAAUGUUAUUUAUUGGAUGCGGAGGCUUUGUGACCUAUGUCUUGUGCGUCUGACAUAUGUGUUAUAUGUAAAC
ensembl:lncRNA